GCACCAUUAGCUCAGUUGGUAGAGCAGCUGACUCUUAAUCAGCGGGUCGGAGGUUCGAGUCCUCCAUGGUGUA
rnacentral:tRNA from 2 species